GCGUCAUUUAGGAAGAGGUAGAGUAAAAGAAAGAGCUCCAGGAUUUAAAACCUACCACAUAGUAUUUUGUAUCUUUUCUUUUCCCCAGAGGAGAUCCCUGUCCUGUCACUUUAUUGACAGACGUGCUGUUACAGGCUGUCUUCCCAGAGGUCGCAGAAGAAGCUCAGACGCUGCUGUUCCUUCCCUCCCAAGCCCAGUGGUCUCCCUGGUAAUGGAUUGCUUCUCUCUGAGCUUCCACCCUGGUGAGACCGCCCGGGUCUAGUCUGUGAACUCAGCUAGGAGACAUACUGUAAAAAUGACCGAAGAGCCCAUAAAGGAGAUCCUGGGAACCCCGAAGUCUCCCAAGCCAGUGGCAAUGGAGAAGAGCUCCAAUGGUGAAGUCAUGGUCACCAUGGUCCCCCUGGUCAAUGAGAUUCAGCUGACAGCCGCCACAGGGGGCGCUGAGCUCUCCUGUUACCGCUGCAUCAUCCCCUUCGCCGUGGUGGUCCUCAUCGCCGGGAUAGCGGUCACUGCCGUGGCUUACAGCUUCAAUUCCCAUGGCUCCAUCAUCUCCAUCUUAGGUCUAGUCCUUCUGUCAUUGGGACUUUUUUUGUUAGCCUCCAGCGCCCUGUGCUGGAAGGUGAGACAGAGGAGCAAGAAAGCCAAGAGGCGGGAGAGUCAGACGGCUCUCGUGGCAAAUCAGAGAAGCUUGUUUGCUUAGGACUGAAUGAGACCAAACGGGAUGUGUGGUCUGAAGGACCUGCUCUCACUUCGUCCACCAGUGCACCCGGGACUGGUGUGGGAGAGGAUGGACUUGGCAUUGCCGCAGACCAGAGGCAUGGGGGUGGCCUGAGGGUGGAGGAUGGAUGGGGUUCUCCUCUGUGAGCAAUGACUUGUGUCUUCGAUGACAAACUUAAUUCUAAGGGCUGUUUCUAAGACUGAAAAAUCAGUGUUUCCUCUACAUUAAACAUUUUAGGGGUCAUGGGAGGUGUGCGGCAUUAGACAACAUUUGGUUCACCUUGGAAAGUAGGCAAGAGAAGAUGAGUUCUGGCACACCAGCAACCUGCCUCCAAAAGAGAUAACCCACGCUAUUAGGAUGUUAUAUCAUAAAAAUGUUCUGCUGAGAGUCUAAACUGCCUUGAACUUUGCAUACUCCUGUGAAAUUCUGUGAUCAUUUUUUUUUCCAAAAAGUUGAUUCUCUAGCAUCUGUUUUAUUUUUCACUUUCAGUAACUCAUCACUGGUGGUACUUCUAUUGAAGAAUAAACUAAUUUUUUUUUAUGUUUUAACAUUGGACAGUUUUUAGAUGAUCGUAAUGCUGUGUCAGAAGUUUAAAAAAAAAAGAUAUUCAAAAGCUCCCCGCUGUUGAUGAAGAAACUUCUCAAGUGAGUAUUCAAGGUCCUGCUCUGUAUGAUCCAAACAAAUGUAUCCAGCUUUCAUUCUUAUUCCAACCCCAAAACUCAUGAGGUAGCCAGACCAGAUGAUUCCCCAUUCCCGGAUUAGGCUUCAAUUUUCCUGCCUCCAUGUAUGUUCAAACUUCUGUUCUCCCUCCUGCAUAAUGCCAUCCUUUCCCCCUCCAACUCAGACAUAUCCAAAUCCUGCUUAUCAUUAGAGCCCUAGCUUAACUGCAACCUCUUCCCAGAGGUUCCCAUUUAUCUGAAAGGAAUUGCUCCUUCAAGAGUCUCUACCUAUUUAUUCUCUGAUGGCAACUUUCAUUUUCUACCACGUGAGUACCAUAAAUGUCUUAUCUUCUUCCAAAACUCCUUAGAAGUGCAUAACGUGUCAUAUAUUUUUAAACCCCUAAUAAAAUGUCCUGCACAGAUUAGGUACUCAAUAAGUGUUUGUUAAAUGAACGAAAGAAUAAAAAUCAGAAAGUGUUUGAUCCAGAAUUACAGUUUGUUUUAAUCUCGUAAAAGAAAAUUCUUUAGUUCUCACCUCUCCCAAAAUAGGUCAUCCUACCCCACCCUGCCUCUACUGGAAGCACCAGGUCCAGGUGAGUAUUUACUACCUUUGUAUAAUAUUUCUCUAGCCACGCCUGCCCUUCCAACUGCUUGAAAAGUAAACUUGUGAAUUAUUUCAGGCCACCAGGGGGCCUCAUGCUGCUACCUGAGAGUCCCAAAAGAAACCCCAUGGAAUGACUUAAACAGUAAAGACUGAAAUAGGGUCAUACCGGAAAUAGAGAUAUCUCUCCUAUAUGUGAGGAGUUGGAGAAGAUCCUCCACUGAGGCCACCCCUACCCUCUUCCCUAAGCCACUUUGCAAUGGCUAAUUCUGGGUUCUUCUAGUAAAUACAGGAAGGUCUUGCCCUGCUGAGGGAGCCUCCAGUCACAUUAAAAAGGUGUACACACCUGCAGAGCUGUAAGGCACAGAGAUAGUCCUAUGUACUGUAGCUCCCAACUCCCACAAGGAGAAUAAACCCAGACGUGAAUCAUGAUAUCACAAUUAUCUCAUAACAUAUGUCUUUAAUGGUCAAGGUUUGUCUUUACAAAUGGUUUGAUGAUCUAGUGAUAAGCAGGUGUUAAAUGCAUGCAUAAGCAUGAUGCAGGCAUAUAUGUAUUGAAAAGAUAACCUGGCCCUACCCUGGAGGAUUAGA